rnacentral:lncRNA from 10 species
CCUGCAUCAACCUAUUGCAGCUGGUGCCAGGGUGGUCAGGAAAGGCAGAGUCUGGAGAAUUUGAGCAGUGAUCUCAACAAAGAAAAGAAGAAAGUCAUAAGAUGAUAAGAACAGAGGAUUUUUUUGGCUAAAGCAGCUGCCAUACUCUUGGUAUGUCUUCAAUUCAAGCAUUCCAAAUGAAAGGAUCUGAUUGGUUUGACAACACUCCCUCUCAGGUAAAAUAUUUCCAUCGGGAAGAACUCUAGAAGCAGUCGUUUGGAUGGUCAACCUUUGGCCAGGAGCCUCUCUCCUAG